rnacentral:misc_RNA from 1 species
GAUGAAGAACGUAGCGAAAUGCGAUAAGUAGUGUGAAUUGCAGAAUUCAGUGAAUCAUCGAAUCUUUGAACGCACAUUGCGCCCCUUGGUAUCCCGAGGGGCAUGCCUGUUCGAGCGUCAUUUCACCACUCAAGCCUGGCUUGGUGUUGGGCGACGUCCCCUUUAGGGACGCGCCUCGAAACGCUCGGCGGCGUGGCACCGGCUUUAAGCGUAGCAGAAUCUUUCGCUUUGGAAGUCGGGGCCCCGUCUGCCGGAAGACCUACUCGCAAGGUUGACCUCGGAUCAGGCAGGGAUACCCGCUGAACUUAAGCAUAUCAAUAAGCGGAGGA